UAGUCGAACGCGUUAAUAACGAGUGGCGAACGGGUGAGUAAUAUACGGGAAUCUACCUUAUAGUUUGGUUAAAUGCCUUAUAUAGAAAGAAUUAUUCGCUAUAAGAUGAGCCUUUGUAGGAUUAGGUAGUUGGUAAAGUAAUAGCUUACCAAGCCGAUGAUCCUUAAUUGGUCUGAGAGGAUGUACAAUCACACUAGAACUGAGACAAGGUCUAGACAUCUACGGAUGGCAGCAGUGGGGAAUAUUGAACAAUGAGCGAAAGCUUGAUUCAGCGAUAUAGAGUGAAUGAUGACAGCCAUUUGGUUGUAAAGUUCUUUUACCAAGGAAGAUUUUGACUUUACUUGGAGAAAAAGCCCCGGCAAAUUUCGUGCCAGCAGCCGCGGUGAUACGAAAGGGGCUAGUGGUUAUUCGGAAUAAUUGGGUGUAAAGGGUGAGUAGGUUGUAAUCAUAGUUAACAAUUAAAUCUUAGUAGUAAUUACUAAAUCAAUUUUUAAUAACAAAUUACUAGAGUAGAAAAGAGGAUUGUAGAAUUUCAAGUGGAGAAAUAAAAUUCGUAGAUUUUUGAAGGAAUAUCGAAAGCGAAGGCAACAAUCUGGUUUUAUACUGACACUGAUUCACGAAAGCCUAGGUAGCAACCAGGAUUAGAGACCCUGUUAGUCUAGGGCCGUAAACGAUGAGCACUCAUUUUUGGAUUUUAUAUUCAGAAAUUAGCUAACGCGUUAAGUGCUCCACCUGAGAAGUCAGUGGCAACACUGAAACUCAAAGGAAUUGA
rnacentral:rRNA from 1 species